AAUGGGAUAGUUGCAUCAGAUGGUCAUUCCUAGUUUUUUGAGGAAUCUCCGUACUGCUUUCCAGAGUGGUUGCACCAAUUUUCAGUCUCACCAACAAU
rnacentral:pre_miRNA from 1 species